rnacentral:rRNA from 1 species
UAGGACCUACGGGAGGCAGCAGUGGGGAAUAUUGGGCAAUGGGCGCAAGCCUGACCCAGCAACGCCGCGUGAAGGAAGAAGGCUUUCGGGUUGUAAACUUCUUUUAAGAGGGAAGAGAAGAAGACGGUACCUCUUGAAUAAGCCACGGCUAACUACGUGCCAGCAGCCGCGGUAAUACGUAGGUGGCAAGCGUUAUCCGGAUUUAUUGGGUGUAAAGGGCGUGUAGGCGGGAAUGCAAGUCAGAUGUGAAAACUAUGGGCUCAACCCAUAGCCUGCAUUUGAAACUGUAUUUCUUGAGUGCUGGG